UUCCAUCUUCGGGGCAGGGUGCAAUUCCCGACCGACGGUGAUGAGCGUAUCUACGCUUUUAGUCCGUGACCCGUUUGGCAUCAUGCUAAACGGUGGACCUGGUGCAAAUCCGGGACCGACAGUUACAGUCUGGAUGGGAGAAGAUGUCG
rnacentral:ncRNA from 2 species